CAUAAUACUCUCCAGAUCCCUCCAUGCUGUCUCUUACCCUUCGAGACAGCAUGGAGGGAUCUGGAGAGUAUUAUGCU